GUGCCGUAAAAUUGUAGGAAUCUGAUGAUAGUAUGGCUAGGAGAAACAGAAGGAAAGCUAAGAAAGGAGAGAUGGUUAGUAGCGCUGCCAUGGGAGCCGAGCAGCAGUAGCAAACAGCUGGCUCACGAACUGAGAGAGCACAUUGAUUCCUGGAAAUCCACCAAUUGCAAGAACAGGGGCAACAUCAGAUCCUGGAGUCACCAAUGCGUCUAGUUUAUAGUCCCACAACAACUUCUCGAACCCAUCUCUGGACAGUCUUGCCAGAUUUAGCAACGCCGCUGAUUCCUUGUCUCCGAUACCAUUUGUGGCCUCGGCAGAUAGAAAGAUUUCUUGGCCAAAUUCCUUUAACUUCUCCUGGACCAACCGACAAGAUAUAUAUGUAUCAACCAUGAUUGGAAUGAAAGAGAAGUAAAUGGUUAUAGAUUUUUCGCUUA